rnacentral:lncRNA from 1 species
AUGGAAGUGUCGAAGAUUGCAAAAUUUAAAAAUUUAUUAAAAAAAAUUGAUUGAGUGUCUACACCUAAAAUUCUGUCACAUGGACCACCCAUCCUGCAAAAUUUCAUCCAAAUCAGUGAGUCACAGUCAACUGAGUCCCCUUGUAAGUAUAUUCCAUUCUAAAAGUUACAGGGAUAAUGCAUGGAAGCCAUUGUUCCCUUGUUUUAAUGCUGAGCACUAUUUGUUGUCAAUAAUAAAAAUCUUAAUAAAUAUAACUUAUCACUUAUCACUCUCAUCUUUAUCUUGGAUGUUUGAAUACUCACUAUCUUUAAACAGAUAAAUAUACGAGAG